rnacentral:rRNA from 1 species
GACGAACGCUGGCGGCGUGCUUAACACAUGCAAGUCGAACGGAAAGGCCCUGCUUUUGUGGGGUGCUCGAGUGGCGAACGGGUGAGUAACACGUGAGUAACCUGCCCUUGACUUUGGGAUAACUUCAGGAAACUGGGGCUAAUACCGGAUAGGAGCUCCUGCUGCAUGGUGGGGGUUGGAAAGUUUCGGCGGUUGGGGAUGGACUCGCGGCUUAUCAGCUUGUUGGUGGGGUAGUGGCUUACCAAGGCUUUGACGGGUAGCCGGCCUGAGAGGGUGACCGGCCACAUUGGGACUGAGAUACGGCCCAGACUCCUACGGGAGGCAGCAGGGGGGAAUAUUGCACAAUGGGCGGAAGCCUGAUGCAGCAACGCCGCGUGCGGGAUGACGGCCUUCGGGGUGUAAACCGCUUUCGCCUGUGACGAAGCGUGAGUGACGGUAAUGGGUAAAGAAGCACCGGCUAACUACGUG